rnacentral:rRNA from 1 species
UACGGGGGGGGCAAGCGUUGUUCGGAAUUACUGGGCGUAAAGGGUUUGUAGGUGGCUUGCUAAGUCAGACGUGAAAUCCCUCAGCUUAACUGGGGAACUGCGUCUGAGACUGGCAAGCUUGAGUGCAGGAGAGGAACGCGGAAUUCCAGGUGUAGCGGUGAAAUGCGUAGAUAUCAGGAAGAACACCCGUGGCGAAGGCGGCUCUCUGGGACGGUACUGACGCUGAGACGCGAAAGCGUGGGGAGCGAACAGG